UACGUAGGGUGCGAGCGUUAAUCGGAAUUACUGGGCGUAAAGCGUGCGCAGGCGGUUUUGUAAGCCAGAUGUGAAAUCCCCGGGCUCAACCUGGGAAUGGCAUUUGGGACUGCAAGGCUGGAGUACGGCAGAGGAGACUGGAAUUCCUGGUGUAGCAGUGAAAUGCGUAGAUAUCAGGAGGAACACCGAUGGCGAAGGCAGGUCUCUGGGCUGACACUGACGCUCAUGCACGAAAGCGUGGGGAGCAAACAGG
rnacentral:rRNA from 1 species